AGUUCUGUUCUGGCUCUGAAACAAAGACUAAACUUUCAAUGUUUAGCCAUGGGUCAUAGCGCUUCAAUAUAACUAACUACACAACAUUUUUUCUAACUAAUGUAACUAACUACACUAUAUAGGGCUAUACAUAGGGCUUCAAUACAACUAACUACAUUACAGUUUUUCAAGGGCAAACUUCUGCUUGUUGUAUACUGAACUCUGAAGUAACAGUCACAACAGCAUUUUACAGACACCUGAAUUUCUGCACAAGUCAUUAUAGAUCUUGAUUUUUAAAUUUUGUUGGAGAGGAAGUUAGAAUCUAUGACCUAGAGCAGCUUUACCCAUGACUUAUUCAUCCAGGGUACCCUUUUCUCUAUUUCUACAGAUAACCAAGAGUUAGCUUUCAUUGCUGAAUUGGUAGAAAAUUUAAAAUAUAUCUUCUAAAAGAUACAAUAAUCCUUCUUCUUUUACCCAGUUAGUGGCCAGUAAUUCAACAUUAUAUCAUUUAUGCUAAAAUGGUAUUGCCACUCCACCUUCUAGUAAGGAAAUACUUGACCAAUAUUCAAUUACUGGUGGACUCCAAUAUCCCAAACAGAACUGAAAUUCAGGAGGUGAGAAAAAGAUGAUGUAAUUGAUGCUUCUGGAAAGAAUAUUAAUUAUAUCCAAUUUUAAAAGCAGAUGAGUCGGGGGUGCCCAUAAUGAAUUGUGUUUACCCUGAGAACAAAUCCACUACAUUGGAAUUUUAGGCAUAACCAGUAUCAUUAAAAGGAGCCCCUUGCAAGACACAGUGGAAGAAGAAGGAGAGAAGCUGAGAAGGUUACAAGGUUAAAGAAACCCUUAAUAAUUCUACAAAGAUCUUUCCCUCAUAGAGGUAUGAGGAUGUGAAGACCAUGACCCUGGGAAUAUAAACAUAUUCCCAAGACCACGGAGUCCCAGAUGGGCUCCCACUGUGACUUGGCCCACAAGACAGAAGGAAUGGAACCAGGAAAGCAGAGACCUGUGAAAUGCACCUGCUGGCUCCUCCCCCUUGAUCUGGACAGAGAUGUGGGAUACCUGUUCACCAUUCAUUAGAUGCUCGGGAAGCCUUGCUAAUUAGAUGAAAAUAAAGGAAAUGAAA
rnacentral:lncRNA from 1 species